UACGGAGGGUGCGAGCGUUGUCCGGAUUUAUUGGGUUUAAAGGGUGCGUAGGUGGCUUUAUAAGUCAGUGGUGAAAUACAGCCGCUCAACGGUUGAGGUGCCAUUGAUACUGUAGAGCUUGAAACAAGUGGAGGCUGCCGGAAUGGAUGGUGUAGCGGUGAAAUGCAUAGAUAUCAUCAGGAACUCCGAUAGCGAAGGCAGGCUGCUUGGCCCCAUCUGACGCUCAUGCACGAAAGCGUGGGGAUCAAACAGG
rnacentral:rRNA from 1 species